UACGAACUGUGCAAACGUUAUUCGGAUUCACUGGGCUUAAAGGGUGCGUAGGCGGCCAUGUAAGUAGGGUGUGAAAUCCCCCGGCUUAACCGGGGAACUGCGCCCUAAACUGUGUGGCUUGAGUGAGAUAGGGGUGUGUGGAACUUCCGGUGGAGCGGUGAAAUGUGUUGAUAUCGGAAGGAACGCCGGUGGCGGAAGCGACACACUGGGUCUCAACUGACGCUGAGGCACGAAAGCCAGGGGAGCGAACGGG
rnacentral:rRNA from 1 species